rnacentral:rRNA from 1 species
CAGUCGCCACGGUAAUACGUAGGGUGCAAGCGUUAAUCGGAAUUACUGGGCGUAAAGCGUGCGCAGGCGGUUGUGUAAGACAGGUGUGAAAUCCCCGGGCUUAACCUGGGAACUGCGCUUGUGACUGCACAGCUAGAGUAAGGCAGAGGGGGGUGGAAUUCCACGUGCAGCAGUGAAAUGCGUAGAGAUGUGGAGGAACACCGAUGGCGAAGGCAGCCCCCUGGGCCAAUACUGACGCUCAUGCACGAAAGCGUGGGGAGCAAACAGGAUUAGAUACCCCGGUAGUCCCUGUCUCUUAUAC